rnacentral:rRNA from 1 species
GACGAACGCUGGCGGCGUGCUUAACACAUGCAAGUCGAACGGAAAGGCCCUGCUUUUGUGGGGUGCUCGAGUGGCGAACGGGUGAGUAACACGUGAGUAACCUGCCCUUGACUUUGGGAUAACUUCAGGAAACUGGGGCUAAUACCGGAUAGGAGCUCCUGCUGCAUGGUGGGGGUUGGAAAGUUUCGGCGGGUGGGGAUGGACUCGCGGCUUAUCAGCUUGUUGGUGGGGUGGUGGCUUACCAAGGCUUUGACGGGUAGCCGGCCUGAGAGGGUGACCGGCCACAUUGGGACUGAGAGACGGCCCAGACUCCUACGGGGGGCAGCAGUGGGGAAUAUUGCACAAUGGGCGGAAGCCUGAUGCAGCAACGCCGCGUGCGGGAUGACGGCCUUCGGGUUGUAAACCGCUUUCGCCUGUGACGAAGCGUGAGUGACGGUAAUGGGUAAAGAAGCACCGGCUAACUACGUG